ACAGUACAAACUGAGCAGGCGAUGAACUUGUAUACAAGUUCAUGGGGCCGGGCCUUAAUUGGCAGCAGGAAGGAUUAAAUACCUGUGGGACAGUA
ncrna:Clostridium botulinum F str. Langeland NiCo riboswitch